ensembl:ncRNA T05A6.16 ncRNA
UAACCCCCCAUGUACAAUUUGAUAAUCGUAAAAAGAUCAGAACUGGUGGUAUUGGCUGUAUGCCAGCUCCUUUUGAUAACCAUUUUUGUCGUCUUGACUGCCGUAAACCUGUCAAACUGUCAAAAAACCCAACUAUUUACAUAUGA